GUGUGUGUGUGUGUGUGUGUGUGUGUGUGUGUGUGUGAGCAGGCAGGCUCAGAGUUUGAGUGAAAGCCUGGGAUGGCAGAGGUUCAUGUUGCAGUUAUGAGGGGGUCCUUGGACGAUUGCUGUCCGGCGGUCCUGCUCCUUGCUGAGUUCUGAAGCUGAGAGAACACGGAGCCGGACCGGACACAGACUGGAGGAAAGGGGACCCAACAGGAAACGACUGGAAGGCGAGCUCGACCUGAGCGCUCCUGUGACGCUCCUCUCAAAACAAAACAAGCUACAGCUUCAUUUCAGCGAUGACAACUUGUUAGACGAGACCUGAGGACGAGCUCUGUUUGACUGACCUUCAGACCUUGGACUCUGUGGGCUCCUUGUCUUUGUAUCCUCCACACACACUCACACACACACACACAUACACAUGCACACAUGCACACACACGUUGCACCUCAGUGGGAUGUGAAAGGGGAGUUGUCGGUUAUUUCUAACCCAUCUGAGGAAAGUUUGCACUGAGCCACGACCUCACAGUGGAACCUAACAUGUCUUUGUACUGCAGUUCAAAUGAUUGUGAUCAGUAGUGAAGACAGCCGGGGGAAUAAAAGUUGUGCUUGAUAAGUUCAGUGUUUGAAAACAGAGAUAUUUCCCUCCCUUGUUCCUCUGAAAGUCGUAUCCAGGUGGAAAAGCAGAGUUAAGUCCUCAAACACCAAAACUAAGACUGACUUUCCUGCCCCCUCUGGAGCUUGUAAACAUGCUGAUUUAUGUCUGUUACAUAACUCCAUGUCUGUUUGCAGAGGGACUCUCUACACUCAGCACCCUCACAGUUUGAGACCUGCAGCCUGAAAGCUGCUCGUCUCCUGCUGACUACAUCCCGUCUCAUUUAUGCUGUGUCUGUACUCAACAAGGUGGAUGUCACCACUCCAGUUCUCUGGAUCCGAGCUGGAAGCAACAUCAGCGUGAGUCGACUUAUUCUGAGUUCAAGUGGUUCUGCUGAGCGGUGAUGUUUGGACAGAGAGGUGAGGCUGCAUGUCGAAGGUUUAAGGGGUUCUGAGAUGACGGGAAUAAUGGCCAAAUUGCUCCAUCACAGCACCAGAUCUGAUAGGUUUCUAUUCUAGUCAAUGUGUUAACUUCCACUGGGUCCACUCCGUUGCGUCUCUGAUCCGG